AACGAACGCUGGCGGCGUGUUUAAGACAUGCAAGUCGCACGGAGUCAUUGAUGUAGCAAUACCUUGAUGGCUUAGUGGCGCACGGGUGAGUAACACGUGAAUGACAUGCCCUGCAGAGGGGGAUAGCCCAGGGAAACUUGGAUUAAUACACCAUGGUAUAGCAAGAUUAAACGGUGGCCCGCAAGGGCUGUCGCUGCGGGAUUGGUUCGCGCCCUAUCAGCUAGUUGGCGGGGUAACGGCCCACCAAGGCUACGACGGGUACCUGGUCUGAGGGGACGAUCAGGCACACUGGAACUGAGAACCGGUCCAGACACCUACGGGUGGCAGCAGUCGAGAAUAAUUCACAAUGGGGGCAACCCUGAUGGUGCAACGCCGCGUGGAGGAUGAAGGUCUUCGGAUUGUAAACUCCUGUCAUCCGGGAGCAAGACCUGACGGUGAAAAGCCGGCAGGGUUGAUAGUACCGGAAGAGGAAGGGACGGCUAACUUCGUGCCAGCCGCCGCAGUAACAC
rnacentral:rRNA from 1 species